GAUAGAAGAGGGAAAUUCUGGGAUUAGAGAGCCUGUGUCAAAAGGAAAACUCGACCCCUGGGUCCCAGAGUGGAUGCGCAGGGCAAAGUCAGUAGGGUUCCCAAAUCCAGCUCCCCUCCCCCACCUUGCGUGUGCCCCCCUGGGAGCUUCCCCGGGCUAAACUCGGGGCCUCCCCAUUUCUCUCCCACUCUCAGCUCAAGAUCUCCUUCAGCGAGACAGCAUUGGAGACCACGUACCAAUACCCCUCCGAGAGUUCGGUGCUGGAGGAGUUGGGCCCGGAGCCUGAGGCUCCCAGUGCCCCCAGCCCCCCAGCGGCCCAACCCGAGGACGAAGAGGAUGAGGAGGACCUGCUGCUGCUACAGCGGGAGCUCCAGGGCGGGCUGCGCACCAAGGCCCUGAUCGUGGAUGAGUCCUGCCGGAGGUGACCCUCUUUCAACAUAGGGCCUAUACCCACCCUUUCCCAGAACUGAAGAUCCUGGAGCCCAGAAGAUUGAGAACAGAGAGAUCCCGAACAUGAGCUUGGCCGGGAAGAGCAACCAACAUCUUCCAACUUGCUUUCCUCAUCCUGUUUAUGGGAGCAGAGCUAGUCACCCAGUUUCCACCCUCACCAAAGGUCCCUGGUAUGAGUGUGUCAGACAUGCUGGUGGCAUCCGAGGUGAUUCAAAAGUGAGCAUCAAGUCCUGAGGAGGAUCACAGUGCUCACUGGGGCUGGAGGUGGAGCACCUCCUCCAUCUCCCCGGGCAGGUACACUCUCCCUUCAGCCUCCCUUGCCUCCCCACCACCCCCUGGGGGCUCUUAGGAUUUAAGCACUCAUCCUGGGUAGCCUGCCCCCACUCCAUUUACAGGCCCCUCUCCUUCCUAUUCCUUAGGCCACUGCCCCUUUGUUUACACCUCCUGCCUCCUCUCUUGACCACCAGCCUGGUUUACAAACCCCAUUAGCUCCCAGCCCCACCUGCCAAAGUCCCAGGUUUACAACCAUACCUACUUGUUGAGUCCAUGUGGAACCCUCCCCCCUGUCCCUGGCAGUUGCCUCAUUGGGAGCGUGGCUUCCUCCACUUUUGCUCAGUAUUACUGUACCUCAGUUUUCCCCAAGAAGGAAGGCUGGGAAUCUUAGCCCUGUACCCCCAUCCAGUUAUUUAAUUCUGUUCCUCCUAGUGGUCCACAACUGAAUUGAAUUGCAAGGGUGAGGGGUGACUAACAAGGCACCUCAAUUCGUCUUCCCCAUUUCUCCUUCCUCAUCCACUGCCUGUUUGUUUUUUAAGUUUUCCAUAAUAAAAUGGAGAUCUCUCCAACUCUC